GUUUUCCCCUCUCGGUACAACCAGGUCCACACACUCACCAUGUCGCGGUUGUCAGUUUCCUAGCUGCCCAGCGUUCCCGGUGAGUGAAGGUGGAGAGCUGCAGAGGUCGACCUCGCUUGGGAGCCUCCUGGCGGCGGAGCUGUCUCCCAGGAGUUCACUCUGCAGGCAAAACUCUGAGAAGAUUGUGACGUCCAGGCCCCGCGUGCUGAUGCACUGUGGACGUCACCUUGCCUGAUUGGACAGUUUGCCAGCCUUGAGUGCACGGAACGUCACAAAGCACGGAGCCAAUCAGCGUCCCCCAUAGCAAGGACCCCUAACUUCAAGUUGUCCUGGAUGGGAACAGCGAGAGACAGACCUGGGUUCAGGUCUGAAAUGGCCGCCCCUGGGCUCCGCCUCCCCGCGGCUGGAGGGCUCUCACCUCCGAGCUCCUGCUACCCACUGGCCUCGCCCUGGGUCCCCGUCCUUCUCCCUGCGGAUGCUGCCUGGAGCUGGCGGUAACCUGUUGCACUACAAGAUAGGACGAAUCAAGGAGGAGCUAGGGCAUAAAAGUUCAAGUUCACCCAAAUCUUUGCCGGCAUUUGGAUUUACCAGGUUCAACUUUUUU